UGAGCGAGUCUAAUGCAUUAGUUUACCAAAUACGUAAAACAAAAUCUGGAAUUAUGCAAAACCACCUCAUUUCAUCUAAAUUAAAGGAGGCAAGUAGCUUAAAUUAGAUAUAUUGUAACAUAGGAUACAUUUGACUUCUUAUAUAUACAUAUACUUUCUUGUUUCUUUCUUGUUCUUUACACACAACAAAUUUUCUGAUAAAAAGCAUAAUCAAUUCAUUUAUAUUACACAAGGAUGAAAAAAUCACUUAUAUUUUCAUUUAAUGUUUUACCUCUCCUCAUCAUUCUUGUACUAGUGGUCGGAGCGAUGGGGCAAGGGAAGAAAAAUAAAAAAGAUACAUGUCCCAUAUAUCUAGAUAACCAAAAGCCUGAAAGUUGUCAAGACAAGCCAGCUUGCCUAUCUGCGUGCAAGAAGAAGACAGAAGGGUCAGGGAUGCAGGAAGUAACCACUGGUUGCAUCUCAGGAAACAAAUGUGCAUGCUAUGUCCCAUGUCCAAAAUGAUCUUAAUGUUUAUUUUAUUGACAACAAAAUUCAUAUAUAUAUUUAUAAUAAAUUAAGAUGUGAUUUAUAGUAAUAAUUAAAUAAGUUGUCAAAUUAUGUUAUUGUCAAAUUAUGAUAAGAAUAAAAUAUGAUCUUUUGCAGA